rnacentral:lncRNA from 1 species
CGCCUUCUCUAACAAAGAGCUUUGAUUCUUUUGUUCUAUUUCAACCUGGUUUCCGACUGAAAAGUUAUGUAAUUGUUAUGACAGGUAUUUUGUAACUUGAAUAUUUGAGUACAUAUACACAUGGAAAAAAGUAUUGCAACACCUAAUUGAAAUUGAAAUUAAAAAAACACUCUAUUUUUUUGUGAUAUAAUUUGGUAAAAU